rnacentral:tRNA from 1 species
GGUGUGUGGCACAGUGGCAGAGCCCUUGCCUAGCAUGUGAGAGGGCCUGGGUUCAAUCCCCAGCACCACCA